AUACGUAGGGGGCGAGCGUUGUCCGGAAUGACUGGGCGUAAAGGGCGUGUAGGCGGUUGUCUAAGUCUGGAGUGAAAGUCCUGCUUUCAAGGUGGGAAUAGCUUUGGAUACUGGAUGACUUGAGUGCGGAAGAGGUAAGUGGUAUUCCCAGUGUAGCGGUGAAAUGCGUAGAGAUUGGGAGGAACACCAGUGGCGAAGGCGACUUACUGGGCCGUAACUGACGCUGAGGCGCGAAAGCGUGGGGAGCGAACAGGAUUAGAUACCCUGGUAGUCCACGCGGUAAACGAUGAAUGCUCGGUGUUGCGGGUAUCGACCCCUGCAGUGCCGGAGGAAACACAAUAAGCAUUCCGCCUGGGGAGUACGGCCGCAAGGUUGAAACUCAAAUGAAUUGACGGGG
rnacentral:rRNA from 1 species